GGCCAGUGGGGUCUGUUAGAGCAGGGCAGCACUCAUGACAAAAACAGAAGUGGUUUCCACACUGGGCUUUCCAAUGUCUGCCAGCUACAGGGGUCUGCCUCAGUGGUGACAGUGGAGGGCAAUGUCUCAAGAGGAGGGAUCAUCUUCCAGUGUGAGAAGAGCACUGUGGAACCAGUGGAGAUACUAAUGUUCUGUUUACAAUGCUGUUCCUGCACUUGCAAGGCACAGUCUGUCUUUAAAUGAGUUAAAAUGCUUGCUUGUGUGAAGCUGAGCAGGACCAUGGAAAGUAGUUCUGGAAGUGUGGCUGCCAGGCACGUGAUCGAUGCAUUCCAGUGCAUGCCUGCUCUCAGAUCUGCAUUGCUGAAUCAAUUAAUCACAGAAGUCAGAGAUCAGAGAAUCUAUUUGCUCCACUCUUACAAGCAUGGAAUAUAUUUACUCAUAACCAGUCCCAGAACAGAUUUCAGACAGAAGCUCAAGAGAAAGAUCAACCACACAAUUAGAUUCGACCAGCAUUAACAUCCUAGGU